CAUCUUUUUUUGAAAAUGAUUAAAGAUUUCAUCUGCUCAAUGGUUAUAAAUAGCUGCGGUAAAUUAACUGUACGAAGGUAGCGUGAUAAUUUGUCUUUUUAAUGAAGGCUGGAAUGAAUGGUUGGACAAAGAGUUUACUGUCUUUUUAAAAUUAUUUGAAUUUUACUUUAGAGUUAGAAGGCUUUAAUUUCUUUAUGGGACGAGAAGACCCUAUAGAGUUUUAUUUUUAUUUUGGAAUAGAUUUUUUAUAAUUGAUUAUUUUUUUUAAUUAAUGAAUUUAGUUGGGGAAGCUUGAGGAUUAAAUAAAUUCCUUAUUUUAAAUCAUUUAUUUUUGAUUUUAUUUUAUAAGAUAGUAAGUUUAAAUUAAAUUACCUUAGGGAUAACAGCGUAAUUUUUAUUGGAAGUUCUUAUUUUAAUAAAAGUUUGCGACCUCGAUGUUGGAUUAAAAUUAAAUUGGGAUGCAGAUGUCUUGAAUUUAAGUCUGUUCGACUUUUAAAAUUUUACAUGAUCUGAGU
rnacentral:rRNA from 1 species